rnacentral:rRNA from 1 species
UACGUAGGCAGCAAGCGUUGUUCGGAAUUACUGGGCGUAAAGAGUGUGUAGGCGGUGCUCCAAGUCUGGUGUGAAAUCUCCCGGCUUAACUGGGAGGGUGCAUUAGAAACUGGAAUGCUAGAGGAUGGGAGAGGUAAGCGGAAUUCCUGGUGUAGCGGUGAAAUGCGUAGAUAUCAGGAGGAACACCUGUGGUUUAGACAGCUUACUGGACCAUUUCUGACGCUGAGACACGAAAGCGUGGGUAGCAAACAGG